CUGAGAUUGAUGAAGCGUCUGGACACAUCACCAGCCCGAUGGACACGAGUCCAACGCAGUAAGAAGAACAAGUUUGGCAAGAAGAGAAAGAGCUCCAAAGGCUGUAUGUAAGAGGACUGAAGAGCCGCAGACCCCCUCAAAAGCCAUAGCCCAGUGACCAGACUGGAGCCCAGGGGGCCCCCAUCAGCCGCCCCAGGGUUCGGAGGCCCUCUUCCAGGGGCAAGAAGCGGGCUAGAAGACAGGGAGGACUCAGGGGCCCCAGAGCAGUCCUUCUACCCCCAUGCUGGCCUUGCCUCAUCCCUUCUCCUGCUGCAACUAUCCCUUCCGUAUUUCUAGCCCCCGCCGCAUGGCUGAGCUGCCAGGCCCAGAGAGGCAGAGGAGGGAGUGUGAGAGGAGGCAGCAGGACUGUCCCCUCUGAAGAAAGGUCACCCAGGACCCUGGACCUGACCCCCUGCUCCCCACUGCACCCCACCUCUUCCUUGUAAAUAUCAUUUAUACGUAACUGAAUAAACGGCUAUUCUGGCUUCCCACCCA